UACGUAGGUGGCAAGCGUUGUCCGGAUUUACUGGGCGUAAAGCGCACGCAGGCGGUCUGCUAAGUUUGGAGUGACAGUUGGUGGCUUAACUGCCAAGGUGCUUCGAAAACUGACAGACUUGAGGGCUUCAGAGGGACACGGAAUUCCGGGUGGAGUGGUGAAAUGCGUAGAGAUCCGGAGGAACACCAAAGGCGAAGGCAGUGUCCUGGGGAGUACCUGACGCUCAGGUGCGAAAGCCAGGGGAGCGAACGGG
rnacentral:rRNA from 1 species